AUUCUUUCCCAGUUCAUAAGCACGAUGAUUGUGCAUUCACAAAUUUGCCAUGUGCCACCCUUAAAACUCGUUACAUAUUUGGCACAUUACCCAUCUGAUG
ensembl:snoRNA